AAGGGCAAUAUUAACUGAUAUAUACUGUAUAUUCCAGUUUGAUCUUACAGUCUGUCAGAUGACUUGCCUGCGCUGUACCCAGGAUCUUUAUUUAAGUACAACAGACACUUAUCGGAGGAAGCCAUUAGGAGAGUGACAGAAUGUGAAAAAUGACGAGCCGCCUUGACAGAUGGAGAAGCGCCGAAGGACCGGGAAGCCAGGAAUUGGUGAAAUGCAUUUUUAAUUUACCAGAUGGAGAUCGGGGCAAGCAUGUAGAGCAUCUUUCCUCCUUGCUGUUAGUGCUCAAUAAGAUGGCCUGCUUUCCAAAUAAUGCACUAUGUUUAUUCCUUAUCAUAAAAAUAAGCUUUGAUGAAACCAAA